rnacentral:rRNA from 1 species
AUUGAACGCUGGCGGCAGGCCUAACACAUGCAAGUCGAACGGAAACAGGAAGCAGUUUGCUGCUUCGCUAACGGGUGGCGGCGGGGUGAGAAAUGUCUGGGAAGCUCCUGGAUGGGGGGGAACAACAACUGAAAAGGGUAGCUAAUACCGAAUAAGUCCGCAAGACAAAAGGGGGGGACCUCGGGGCCUCUGGCCAUGGGAUGUGCCCAGAUGGUAGUCGUUUGUUGGUGGGGUAACGGUCCACAAAGGCGACGACCCCUGGCUGGUCUGAGAGGAUGACCAGCCACACUGGAACUGAGACACGGUCCAGACUCCUACGGGAGGCAGCAGUGGGGAAUAUUGCACAAUGGGCGCAAGCCUGAUGCAGCCAUGCCGCGUGUAUGAAGAAGGCCUUCGGGUUGUAAAGUACUUUCAGCGGGGAGGAAGGGAGUAAAGUUAAUACCUUUGCUCAUUGACGUUACCCGCAGAAGAAGCACCGGCUAACUCCGUG